rnacentral:tRNA from 1 species
AUUCUCUUAAUACAAUUAGUAUAGGUGACUUCCAAUCACUCAGCCUUGGUUAAACCCCAAGAGAGAAUA